rnacentral:rRNA from 1 species
UACGAAGGGGGCUAGCGUUGCUCGGAAUCACUGGGCGUAAAGCGCACGUAGGCGGAUUGUUAAGUCGGGGGUGAAAUCCUGGAGCUCAACUCCAGAACUGCCUUCGAUACUGGCGAUCUUGAGUCCGGGAGAGGUGAGUGGAACUCCGAGUGUAGAGGUGAAAUUCGUAGAUAUUCGGAAGAACACCAGUGGCGAAGGCGGCUCACUGGCCCGGUACUGACGCUGAGGUGCGAAAGCCAGGGGAGCAAACGGG